rnacentral:lncRNA from 1 species
CACGUUUCCCCAGGCAGUAUAUCCUUGAUAUAUUCAUCCUAAUCGAUGGCGGAUAUUCUCCCUUUGUUGGUAUUCUACCCAGUAAAAAGGUAGUUGUAAUCCCUAUUUUCAUUCCCUAGAGAGUUAAUACUUGAUAUGUUCAUCCUAACCGAUGACCGAUUUUCUCCCUUUUUGGUAUUCUAUCCAUUAACUGGUAGAUAUAAAUCCUACUUCUCCCCUCAUAGUUAAUCCUAGUUAUGUUCAUCCUAACCGAUGACGGAUUUUCUCCCUUUGUGGUUUUCUACCCAGUAAAAGGUAGUCGUAAAUCCUGCUUCCCCCCGUUAAGUCUAUCCUUGAUAUGUUCAUCCUAACUGGUGACUGAUAUUCUCUUUUUGGUAUUCUAUCUAGUAACUGAUAUAUAUAUAAUUCCUAUUUUUCCCCAACGGUCUAUCCUUAAUAUAUUCAUCCUAACCGAUGACGGAU